rnacentral:sRNA from 1 species
GCUGGGUGCAGUGGCCCACGCCUGUCAUCCCAGCAGCUCAGGAGGCUGAGGCAGGAGGAUCACAAGUUGGAGGCCAGCUUCAGCAACUUAGCGAGGCCCUGUCUCUA